UUGGGAAUCUUGCACAAUGGGCGAAAGCCUGAUGCAGCGACGCCGCGUGGGGGAUGAAGGGUCUAGGCCUGUAAACCCCUUUUGCCAGGAAAGACUUAGGACGGUACCUGGCGAAUAAGCCCCGGCUAACUACGUGCCAGCAGCCGCGGUAAGACGUAGGGGGCGAGCGUUGUCCGGAUUUACUGGGCGUAAAGGGCGCGUAGGCGGCCCGUUAAGUGUGGAGUGAAAGCCCCGGGCUCAACCCGGGAAUCGCUCCGCAUACUGGCGGGCUCGAGGGUGGCAGAGGUGUGCGGAAUUGCCGGUGUAGCGGUGAAAUGCGUUGAUAUCGGCAGGAACACCCGUGGCGAAGGCGGCACACUGGGCCACACCUGACGCUGAGGCGCGAAAGCGUGGGUAGCAA
rnacentral:rRNA from 1 species